rnacentral:snoRNA from 1 species
UUGCUGUGAUGAUGGAUUCCAAAACCAUUCGUAGUUUCCACCAGAAGUCUUGUGCUGGUCAGUUCCUUCCUUGGAUGUCUGAAUGA